rnacentral:rRNA from 1 species
GGAAACGACUGCUAAUACCGGAUGACGACGUAAGUCCAAAGAUUUAUCGCCGAGGGAUGAGCCCGCGUAGGAUUAGGUAGUUGGUGUGGUAAAGGCGCACCAAGCCGACGAUCCUUAGCUGGUCUGAGAGGAUGAUCAGCCACACUGGGACUGAGACACGGCCCAGACUCCUACGGGAGGCAGCAGUGGGGAAUAUUGGACAAUGGGCGAAAGCCUGAUCCAGCAAUGCCGCGUGAGUGAUGAAGGCCUUAGGGUUGUAAAGCUCUUUUACCCGGGAUGAUAAUGACAGUACCGGGAGAAUAAGCUCCGGCUAACUCCGUGCCAGCAGCCGCGGUAAUACGGAGGGAGCUAGCGUUAUUCGGAAUUACUGGGCGUAAAGCGCACGUAGGCGGCUUUGUAAGUAAGAGGUGAAAGCCCAGAGCUCAACUCUGGAAUUGCCUUUUAGACUGCAUCGCUUGAAUCAUGGAGAGGUCAGUGGAAUUCCGAGUGUAGAGGUGAAAUUCGUAGAUAUUCGGAAGAACACCAGUGGCGAAGGCGGCUGAC